AACUAUGCCCGGUCGCCAACAAUGCACGAUUGCCGGCGAAUACGGAACGUGUCUGCAAUUCGCCGCUAUGAUUUUCGCCGUGAGUGAAAGUUGGGAAAAACUAGUGUUUUUUGGAAGACUUUUUUUUUUUUCUUCAGAUGUUACUCGAACGAGCUGUUCACAGAAAGACACAGACUUUGGUUGUAAACCAUCCCAAAAUUGCAUGGUUUCUAUGUUAAGAACAUUUUAGUUUCGGGCUCAUAACAUGCAUUCCUCAUAUAUUUUAUCAAGUCAGUUAUCGAUAGCUACCGAUGGUUGUUGGCAAACAAGAAUUUUCGCUAAGAUGCAACAUGGUCAUACUGAAGGGAAACUGGAAACGUUGGAAAGAUGGUAACUGACUCGUGACUCGGGAACCUUCCACAACCCCUUCAAACAGCAGAGCAAACAUUGAAAAUAGACGACCACUUUGAUUCUCUACCGUAGCCAGAGCAUCCGAGUUCGUUUCUCUAUUUUUCAAUUAACAUCAACGGAGAAGAUAACGCGACACGACAGACGAAAGACGAAAAACGCCACUUACACAGAACAAACAAUUCGAUGGAAAAAAAAAUGGUGAGGAACACACAAUUCUGUUCAGUCCGAACCGUGGAAAUGUGUUGCCCUGGACUUCGAAAGACGCCGCUUGUUUCUUUUGGGACACGUCCAGUUGGCUGCGUUUGGCGAACAGAACUAAAACACGGCUCAGUCCAUCGUCGUUUUUAAAAAGGAAAACGGCCCAAACGGCGGCGACGUCGACGGCGCUGCCGUCGCCGGCUAAACAAUGCAAACUUUCAGCCCGAGAGAAGUCCAAAAGCAAAGCGCCAAGCCAGCAAAGCAAAAGCAAAGCAAAAGCAAAAGCAGUCAAGCAGGCCGAGCAGUCGAGCAGUCGAGCAAAAGCAGCCAAGAGCGAGUGCUCUUUGUUGCCGAGAUGCUCAGUCAAGAACAAACGUCGGGAACAUGACCCUUCCAUCCCGAUGCCGAUGCCGAUGACCAUGCCCAUGCCAAUACUGAUUCCGCUUCGGAAUUCCAAUCCCAAAGUGCCAAAAAUAGUAUGCGUGCAGGUGGAACAAAGGACUGAUUAAUCGGUGAUCCCCGAUCCUCAGCGGCCGUGCCUCCUUUUUUUGGCGGUGCAUUUGAACUGGCCGCAGGUGCUCUCCGUUUGUCAUCUCGUCCAAUGGGAGGAUAUCUUGGGGAAAGUACAUGCAUCUAACAGGAAAUCACAAGACACAAGGCGCAUUUAGUACCUCAAACCUCUGUGAUUGAGUGCCACUUAUCAACUGAUCACCAAUACUGGACUUGCAGUGAGCCAGAAAUGAGUUAUUCUCAUCUCGAAUAGAUCCAUUCUGGCUGGCCAUAGUCACGGCCAUUCGGCUGAUCAUCUUGGGCUGCAUGCCUGGUGAUCAUGAUCAUCAUGAUCAGGCUGCCCUUGAUCCCGCCUCGGUUUUUGUGAUUUGUUUACGCUGUUCUCUCGAGAGUCAGCGAAAACAACAAGCGAAUCACCAGCAGCGCAGAGAAAACCAGUUGGCCGCUAUGGAAAAUCCACGCAUAAUACAACGUCGAGACUACUUGGAUGGUGGAUUCCCCCAUUCUGUCAGUUGCUCUCUGAUGCCUACUUAGUCCAUCGCCUCGCCUGAGUUCUGCCGCCCGUUCCGAGCAUGCCGAUGAUGAGUGGUGUGCCUUGUCUGUGCCAUGUUCUGCCGACGAACCCUUGACUGGCCCCUCCGAUUUGAGUUAGGUUAACCCAUUCGCGGGAUGCGGGGUUAAGUUAACCCACCCCAAUCACUCAUAUUGUACUAGCCUAAGCUUACGUCCACUAAAUAAACAAUUUAAUAUUAA